rnacentral:rRNA from 1 species
CGCACGGGUGAGUAACACGUAUCCAACCUGCCGUCUACUCUUGGACAGCCUUCUGAAAGGAAGAUUAAUACAAGAUGGCAUCAUGAGUCCGCAUGUUCACAUGAUUAAAGGUAUUCCGGUAGACGAUGGGGAUGCGUUCCAUUAGAUAGUAGGCGGGGUAACGGCCCACCUAGUCUUCGAUGGAUAGGGGUUCUGAGAGGAAGGUCCCCCACAUUGGAACUAAGACACGGUCCAA